rnacentral:lncRNA from 1 species
UUGGAACUUGGAGGAGAGAGAAAGAGAGAUCCGAACGGAACCAAGCCGCUCGACCGCCCCUUCUGCUCGCUCAUCCGGUUGUUCGUCGCCUGCUGAUGGCCGCUCCUUUGCCGUCACACCACCCGAACACUAGCCAGCGUUUUGUUGCUGACCCGCGUGCGUCCUCACGCCAAGCUGCCGGUUUCAUGUUGUCUCGCCGUCCUCCAGAGCCCCCUAGACAUCGUUGAAGCCGCACCACCGCAGUCCUGUCCCCAAAGCAACCGAAGUCGCCGUCGCCCGCCCCACGCACCCGCUCGUCGGCUAGCUCGCUGCUCCGCUCCGCCUUCGUCCGUGUGCCAACUAGCCGUCGUCCAUCGUCUCACAGCUGCUUGCCAUCACCGGAAGUCCCGCCUAGCCGCCAUGAGCCACUGCCCGAACUGCCGCCCCUCUCCUCCGCCCUUUCUGACCCAAACCAGCAUCGGAUCCGCCCUCUUUCGGCCCUAAAACAGUAACUGGAAAAUAGGUAUUCCAGCUCGAUUUUAGCCCAUUUUGGCCGGCCUCCUGACCUCGGAUGCUUGGCUCGGCUUGAGGAAAGCCGAUCCCCAUGACGUCCCCGUUGUUUUGGUCUGAUCGGUUUGUUAAUCGGGUGAGUUUAACUCACUAAACCUUGAUUAGACGGUUGAUGAUGCUUUAGGUGUGCUUAGUUUAUGUUACGUGUUGUUAGGUGGUUAGUUUAAUUUAUUUAAGUGUAAAUUAGAUUAAGAGUAUGAUUAAUUUAAAGUAGGUUUAAUUAAGGCUAAGUGGUUUUAUAUUAGAAUAAGCCUUGAUUUGACAUAAAUGAUUUAUUUAUUUAUAUAAAUAAAUAUUUCGAAAUUAUUUAAUAAAUUAAUAAUAUAUUAUUAUUCGAAAUUAUUAAAAUAUUAUUAUUUAAUUAAUUUCGGAAUAAAAUUAAUUAUUUAAUAAAUUCUAAAGAAAAAAAAAUUUGGGACCUUAAUUUCUCAGAAUUUUGUGUUGAUCGUUGCUGUGUAUUCAGAUUUUGAAUUUGAUGAAUGGAUAAUGCAAAUUGAAUGUUGAUUGUGAAAAAUAGGAUUUUAUUCAUAAAAUCCCAAGUGUUGGGUUUUGAUACAAAAAUUGGAUUUCAAGAAUUAUUUUAAAUAGUGGGGUUUGAAAAAGUGAGAUAUUGAUUUCCUGGUUCGAAAUUAACGUGCCCCACACACGUGAAUAAUUUCUAGAAUAUUUUUAAUAUGAAAAAAAGAGGCCGGGAUCACUAUUUUAAAUUGAAACAUUGAGUGAAAUGCAAAGUGUCCUAGGCUGAGUAUGAAUUGAUUGUGUGAUAAUUAAGAGGAAUUUGUCCUGGGCUAUUGAGCCGGACUUGCUCCUAUAUGGGAUGCCCCCACAUUGUGGAUGUGGGUCGCAAUUGAUUUUGGGCCCAUGCUCCUUCGGGAACGCCCUCAACAUAUUGACGAAGUUGCGCUCCAAGGUGGGGAGGCGACACCUGGCAUUAAUGUCAGCAGAUAACUGAACUGCAAGUAGGCUAUACCCUUGUGUGGUAGUGAAUAACAAUUGGAACGCAUGCUGAAUGAUUUGUUGUGUUGGAUUAUGGGGUGGAAUUGUGUGGCAUGGUAUGGGACAUAAUCAGGACUCCGAUGGUUGUUGGUUAUGUGAAAAUAUUUGCGUUCCAGUUGUUUAAGUUUGUAUUACUACACAUGAUCGAAUGAUAUGAACAUGAUUGAAUGAUUUGAAUUGUGCUAACCUGUAAGAAGGAACUGAGGGAGGUAAGUUCUCUGUGUGGUGUGGCUAGGUCAUCUUGGAGUGUAUUUUCUUUCUAAUAAAGGUUUAGGGGGUGAACUUGCUGAGACAAUGUCUCACCCCAGUUGUGGGCUUACAUUUUCAGGUCCCCAGUGGACGGAGUGGCCAGAUCCUUUUGGUUGGCCUUGAAGAGUUGCAAAGGUGAAGUCAUGAGGAUUGGAGGAUGUGUUUGAAUUGGUCGUAGGACAAUUCCUUUUUAAGAGCCGGUCUUUUGUAGACUUUUGGAUGUAGGCCUUUGUUUGUAACUCCGUUGAUUUAUGAAAGUGUUAUGUUGUGAAUGCUUCCUGCUUUUAUAUCCC